AUGCAAGUCGAGGGGCAGCACGAGAUAGUUUACUAUUUUGGUGGCGACCGGCGCACGGGUGCGUAACGCGUAUGCAACCUACCUUAUACUGGAGUAUAGCCCGGAGAAAUCCGGAUUAAUCCUCCAUAGUACUGAUGAUUUGCAUAAUGAAUCAGUUAAAGUUUCGGCGGUAUAAGAUGGGCAUGCGUCCUAUUAGCUAGAUGGAGAGGUAACGGCUCACCAUGGCAACGAUAGGUAGGGGGCCUGAGAGGGUGGUCCCCCACACUGGUACUGAGACACGGACCAGACUCCUACGGGAGGCAGCAGUGAGGAAUAUUGGUCAAUGGGCGAAAGCCCGAACCAGCCAUGCCGCGUGCAGGAAGAAUGUCCUAUGGAUUGUAAACUGCUUUUAUUUGGGAAUAAACCUUUCUACGUGUAGAAAGCUGAAUGUACCAAAUGAAUAAGCACCGGCUAACUCCGUGCCAGCAGCCGCGGUAAUACGGAGGGUGCAAGCGUUAUCCGGAAUUAUUGGGUUUAAAGGGUCCGCAGGCGGACGUAUAAGUCAGUGGUGAAAGCCUACAGCUCAACUGUAGAACUGCCAUUGAUACUGUACAUCUUGAAUUUGAU
rnacentral:rRNA from 1 species